rnacentral:rRNA from 1 species
UACAUAGGGGGCGAGCGUUGUUCGGAAUUACUGGGCGUAAAGGGCGCGUAGGCGGCCUUCUAAGUCGCACGUGAAAUCCCCGGGCUCAACCCGGGAACUGCGUCCGAUACUGGGAGGCUUGAAUCCGGGAGAGGGAUGUGGAAUUCCAGGUGUAGCGGUGAAAUGCGUAGAUAUCUGGAGGAACACCGGUGGCGAAGGCGGCAUCCUGGACCGGUAUUGACGCUGAGGCGCGAAAGCUAGGGGAGCAAACGGG